GCAUUGUAUUGUCAUGGAUGGAGGUUCUUUCAUUCAUGGUAUUGUAAUACAUACACUUGGUUUAAAUUUAAUUUGAUUUGAUAAAUUUGAGCCAAUUCUUAGUGAUAUGGGAGUUGUCUUGCAAGUUCCCACAAGCCCAAAUAUAUAUUUUUUCAGUGAAAAGUAACACUAUGAAAAAGUUGAUGCUGGAUGGUUUAAGAAAAUGCCUUAUGGUCAAAGUCGUGUGUUCCUUACAUCAAGCACUCAAAGCAUCACCGUGAAGAGACUUCAGACAAGGGUCAAGGAGUGAGGUGUUUGUGUGGAAACCCCAUUACAUCAUCAAGAGGGAGACCGCACUGACAGGGGUCCAAGAUCCAUCUCAGGCCCUACUGUAGACUGCCCGCCAGCAGACGGAGACCCACCGACGGACGUCGGCUCAAUGGCCAACAGUGGCCCGCCGGCCGGCUGACGGACGACGGUGGCUCGCCGACCGCCGCCGGCCCGUCGGCCGACCACGGCCCACCAGUUGAUGGUGGCUCGCCAGCUGACGGAGGUCCGCCGGCCAUUCGUAGCACGCCCGCCGACGGCAGCUCGACGCACAUCCUGGCCUUAACUAUAGCUAUGUCACCCCCAAGAUUAGUUCACCCCCCCCCCCCCCAAGUCCCUAGGUCACCAGUCGCGGGCGCUCCAUCUGACGGUGUCGUCCGACGGCUCCACGGUGACCAGCGCCGCGGAAACCAUCCGACCCCGAAAAUGCUGCUAGCCGUACACGAACAAAAGGCGCCAAGCACCCAGGACCAGCGCCCUGCUCCGAGGCGGUGUCCAAAGAAGGUCGCACAGUGCACUUGCUGUGCUAAGGUGUAGCGCGCGCUGACUGAUAGAAAAAACUGACGGUUGGUUAUCAGAUCUCAGUAUGGAACUCAAGAUGGUCGGAGCCGACCUGGCUCGGUGGAUGGUGUGCCAGGGUUAAUUAAGUGUCGAAAUGAGUGAGACGCUCAGAUAUCUGAAGGAUACGUCGAUACGAGUCCCGGCUUCGACUCCCCGUCCCAAAACGGUGUUGGCUGUGAUUGGAUUUUGGUAUGUUUACGGACUCCCCCUCCCCCCACCCCCACCCGCAAUUUGUGCUAUGUAAUAGGACGAUAAUAUGCCGUGGUCUCAUUCUGGCUCGAUAUCGUAAUAGGCACUUAAUUGGACAGACGUUGGUGGAUGUAAAUGGCAGGUUUAGCUAGCGCGAUAUUAGUAAUCGUGGGUGCACUAGCUGUAAUCAGUCGCGCGCUUCUUGCAGAGCACCUGUGAGCAAUAAAAUAUGAAAGGGCAGUUUGUCGUGAAACCUGUGUACUUUUGGAUUAAGUUAUCAGAACAUAAAUGUAUUUUUGAUGUCCACUGCAGCUCUGGAACAGAAACAUGGAGAUCGGCUGUUCGCUGUAGCAGGGGCCAAAAAAAUCAAAGGUGAUAUGUGAUUUUAAUUGAAUAUAGGUAUCUCACUGUA
rnacentral:lncRNA from 1 species